UGGGGAAUAUUGGACAAUGGACCGAGAGUCUGAUCCAGCAAUUCUGUGUGCACGAUGACGUUUUUCGGAAUGUAAAGUGCUUUCAGUUGGGAAGAAAGAAAUGACGGUACCAACAGAAGAAGUGACGGCUAAAUACGUGCCAGCAGCCGCGGUAAUACGUAUGUCACGAGCGUUAUCCGGAUUUAUUGGGCGUAAAGCGCGUCUAGGUGGUUAUGUAAGUCUGAUGUGAAAAUGCAGGGCUCAACUCUGUAUUGCGUUGGAAACUGUAUAACUAGAGUACUGGAGAGGUAAGCGGAACUACAAGUGUAGAGGUGAAAUUCGUAGAUAUUUGUAGGAAUGCCGAUGGGGAAGCCAGCUUACUGGACAGAUACUGACGCUAAAGCGCGAAAGCGUGGGUAGCAAACAGG
rnacentral:rRNA from 1 species